UCUACGGGCGGCAGCAGUGGGGAAUAUUGCACAAUGGGCGCAAGCCUGAUGCAGCGACGCCGCGUGAGGGAUGACGGCCUUCGGGUUGUAAACCUCUUUCAGCAGGGAAGAAGCGCAAGUGACGGUACCUGCAGAAGAAGCGCCGGCUAACUACGUGCCAGCAGCCGCGGUAAUA
rnacentral:rRNA from 1 species